rnacentral:rRNA from 1 species
CGAACGUACGCAACCUUCCCAUAACAGGUGAAUAGCCUUCCGAAAGGGAGAUUAAUACACCGUAACAUAAUGAAGAGGCAUCUUUUUAUUAUUAUAGGCAGCAAUGUCGGUUUUGGAUGGGCGUGCGCCUGAUUAGGUAGUUGGUGAGGGUAACGGCCCACCAAGCCUGCGAUCAGUAACUGGUGUGAGAGCACGACCAGUCACACGGGCACUGAGACACGGGCCCG